rnacentral:rRNA from 1 species
UACGUAGGGGGGCUAGCGUUGUCCGGAAUCACUGGGCUUAAAGCGUGUGUAGGCGGACGUCUAAGUACCUUGUGAAAUCCCACGGCUCAACCGUGGAACUGCUCGGUAUACUGGUCGUCUUUGAGCCACUUAGGGGCAGUCGGAACAGACGGUGGAGCGGUGAAAUGCGUAGAUAUCGUCUGGAACGCCAAAGGUGAAAAACAGACUGCUGGGAGUGCGCUGACGCUGAGACACGAAAGCCAGGGGGAGCGAACGGG